rnacentral:tRNA from 1 species
GCUGCAAUAGCACACGUUGGACUGUGCACCAAUCUUGUAAAUUGGCGGACGGGGGUUCGAUUCCCUCUUGCAGCUCCA